rnacentral:lncRNA from 1 species
CCCGGAGCCCCGCGCGGGGCACUGGUGGGGACUCGGGGGGCCCAGCCAUCCCCAGCAGCAGCGCCCCGAGUCCCCGCCCGCCCGCCGGCUCCUCACCUAUCAGAUUUCCUGUGCGCACCGCGCGCCGCUCCUCCCACCUCCUAAAGGCCAGCGCAGGGGACCGCCGCGCUCCGUCAGGACCCAGCUACUCAAGGGACGGCGCAAUGCGGCUCUGAGCUCGGCCAGCUGCACGGCCCCGCGCAGGGAGUGCGGGGCGCACGAUUCCUGCCUCUGCCUGUGGGCCUCCCUGGAGCAGCAAUCCUGAGCAUCCUCAGGGCUUCCCGAGGAAGAGAAUCAUCAUUUUCCGGCAAACAAACCAAGCCCAAGACCUAACUGUGCUGAAUGACAUAUGCUGACAGCUCUUGGAAUCUACCCUUUGACUUAGCUUUCAAACAAGAGGUUCAUCUUACCCAGGAAAAGGGUGAGUUAUUUGCUUUCUCAAUGUUAUAAUGCUGACGUGGAUGAUCCUGGAUUUGUGGAGAAUAAAAGAGAUAGGUGAGCAAAAGAACA